CNNACCUAACCCAUGUGAACCAUACCAAACUGUUGCCUCGGCGGGGUCACGCCCCGGGUGNGAACGAAGCCCCGGAACCAGGCGCCCGCCGGAGGGACCAACCAAACUCUUUCUGUAGUCCCCUCGCGGACGUUAUUUCUUACAGCUCUGAGCAAAAAUUCAAAAUGAAUCAAAACUUUCAACAACGGAUCUCUUGGUUCUGGCAUCGAUGAAGAACGCAGCGAAAUGCGAUAAGUAAUGUGAAUUGCAGAAUUCAGUGAAUCAUCGAAUCUUUGAACGCACAUUGCGCCCGCCAGUAUUCUGGCGGGCAUGCCUGUCCGAGCGUCAUUUCAACCCUCGAACCCCUCCGGGGGUCCGGCGUUGGGGAUCGGGAACCCCUAAGACGGGAUCCCGGCCCCGAAAUACAGUGGCGGUCUCGCCGCADCCUCUCAUGCGCAGUAGUUUGCACAACUCGCACCGGGAGCGCGGCGCGUCCACGUCCGUAAAACACCCAACUUCUGAAAUGUUGACCUCGGAUCAGGUAGGAAUACCCGCUGAACUUAAGCAUAUCAAUAA
rnacentral:rRNA from 1 species